UACGUAGGGUCCAAGCGUUAUCCGGAGUUACUGGGCGUAAAGCGUGCGCAGGCGGCGCGUUAAGUGAGGUGUGAAAUUUUGCGGCUCAACCGUAUAAAUUGCAUCUCAUACUGGCGUGCUAGAGUAUGGCAGAGGCAAGUGGAAUUGGCAGUGUAGCAGUGAAAUGCGUAGAUAUUGCCAGGAACACCAAUGGCGAAGGCAGCUUGCUGGGCCACUACUGACGCUCAGGCACGAAGCGUGGGGAGCGAACAGGAUUAGAUCCCUUA
rnacentral:rRNA from 1 species